GAUGAACGCUGGCGGCGUGCCUAAUACAUGCAAGUCGAGCGAACAGGCGAGGAGCUUGCUCCUUUGACGUUAGCGGCGGACGGGUGAGUAACACGUAGGUAACCUACCUAUAAGACUGGGAUAACUUCGGGAAACCGGAGCUAAUACCGGAUAAUAUUUCGAACCGCAUGGUUCGAUAGUGAAAGAUGGCUUUGCUAUCACUUAUAGAUGUACCUGCGCCGUAUUAGCUAGUUGGUAAGGUAACGGCUUACCAAGGCAACGAUACGUAGCCGACCUGAGAGGGUGAUCGGCCACACUGGAACUGAGACACGGUCCAGACUCCUACGGGAGGCAGCAGUAGGGAAUCUUCCGCAAUGGGCGAAAGCCUGACGGAGCAACGCCGCGUGAGUGAUGAAGGUCUUCGGAUCGUAAAACUCUGUUAUUAGGGAAGAACAAACGUGUAAGUAACUGUGCCCGUCUUGACGGUACCUAAUCAGAAAGCCACGGCUAACUACGUG
rnacentral:rRNA from 1 species